AGGAGCCUGUUCUAUAAUCGAUGAUCCACGAUACACCUUACCAUUUUUUGCCUUCCUCAGCCUGUAUACCUCCGUCGACAGCUUACCACUUGAAUGCUAUUAAGUAAGCGAAAUGAGCUACCGCGCCUUCCCCAAUACGUCAGGUCAAGGUGCAGCCUACAAAAUGGAAAAUAAUGGGCUACAAUUUCUAACAUAGAACAAACGAAAAACUACAUGAAACAUAGUCAUGAAGGCGGAUUUAGCAGUAAAAGGAGAAUAGAGAGCUUCUUUUAAACGAGCCCUGGGACGUGUACAAACCGCCCGUCACCCUCUUCAAAAGCACUUUUUCAAGUCACUAACACUUUAUCGCACAUUAGAAGAGGCAAGUCGUAACAUGGUAAGUGUACCGGAAGGUGCACUUGGUUAAUCAAAGUAUAGCUUAACUAAAGCCUUUCGUUUACACCGAAAACACAUCUGUUUGACUCGGAUUACUUUGAGCCUCAAACCUAGCCUAUAC
rnacentral:rRNA from 1 species